rnacentral:rRNA from 1 species
GUAUCAUGGCUCAGGAUGAACGCUAGCUACAGGCUUAACACAUGCAAGUCGAGGGCAGCAUGGUCUUAGCUUGCUAAGGCUGAUGGCGACCGGCGCACGGGUGAGUAACACGUAUCCAACCUGCCGUCUACUCUUGGCCAGCCUUCUGAAAGGAAGAUUAAUCCAGGAUGGGAUCAUGAGUUCACAUGUCCGCAUGAUUAAAGGUAUUUUCCGGUAGACGAUGGGGA